rnacentral:tRNA from 1 species
GCCUUGUUUGUGCAGUAGGCAGCGCGUCAGUCUCAUAAUCUGAAGGUCGUGAGUUCGAUCCUCACACGAGGCA